UACGGGGGGGGCAAGCGUUGUUCGGAAUUACUGGGCGUAAAGGGCUCGUAGGCGGCCAACUAAGUCAGACGUGAAAGCCCCCGGCUUAACUGGGGAGGGUCAUUCGAUACUGCUCGGCUCGAAGACAGGAGAGGGAAGUGGAAUUCCCGGUGUAGUGGUGAAAUGCGUAGAUAUCGGGAGGAACACCAGUGGCGAAGGCGACUUUCUGGCCUGUUCUUGACGCUGAGGCGCGAAAGCUAGGGGAGCAAACGGG
rnacentral:rRNA from 1 species